AUGAACGCUGGCGGCGUGCUUAACACAUGCAACUUGAACGAAGCACUUAAGACGGAUUACUUCGGUUUGAAGUCUUAUUUGACUGAGUGGCGGACGGGUGAGUAACGCGUGGGUAACCUGCCUCAUACAGGGGGAUAACAGUUAGAAAUGACUGCUAAUACCGCAUAAGCGCACGGUCUCGCAUGGGACGGUGUGAAAAACUCCGGUGGUAUGAGAUGGACCCGCGUCUGAUUAGCUGGUUGGUGAGGUAAGGGCUCACCAAGGCGACGAUCAGUAGCCGGCCUGAGAGGGUGAACGGCCACAUUGGGACUGAGACACGGCCCAAACUCCUACGGGAGGCAGCAGUGGGGAAUAUUGCACAAUGGGGGAAGCCCUGAUGCAGCGACGCCGCGUGAAGGAAGAAGUAUUUCGGUAUGUAAACUUCUAUCAGCAGGGAAGAAAAUGACGGUACCUGACUAAGAAGCCCCGGCUAACUACGUGCCAGCAGCCGCGGUAAUACGUAGGGGGCAAGCGUUAUCCGGAUUUACUGGGUGUAAAGGGAGCGUAGGCGGUUCAGCAAGUCAGAAGUGAAAGCCCGGGGCUCAACUCCGGGACUGCUUUUGAAACUGUUGAACUAGAUUGCAGGAGAGGUAAGUGGAAUUCCUAGUGUAGCGGUGAAAUGCGUAGAUAUUAGGAAGAACACCGGUGGCGAAGGCGACUUUCUGGACUGUAACUGACGUUGAGGCACGAAAAGUGGGGGGAGCAAACAGGAUUAGAUCCCUUGGUAGUCCACACUGUAAACGAUGGAUACUAGGGGUAGGUGGUAUUAAGCCAUCUGUGCCGUCGCUAACGCAGUAAGUAUCCCCACCUGGGGAGUACGACCGCAAGGUUGAAACUCAAAGGAAUUGACGGGGGCCCGCACAAGCAGUGGAGUAUGUGGUUUAAUUCGAAGCAACGCGAAGAACCUUACCAGGGCUUGACAUACAGAUGAAUAACUAAGAGAUUAGUUAGUAUUUCGGUACAUCUGUACAGGUGGUGCAUGGUUGUCGUCAGCUCGUGUCGUGAGAUGUUAGGUUAAGUCCUGCAACGAGCGCAACCCCUAUACUUAGUUGCCAGCACGUAAAGGUGGGAACUCUAAGUAGACUGCCGGUGAUAAAUCGGAGGAAGGUGGGGACGACGUCAAAUCAUCAUGCCCUUUAUGUCCUGGGCUACACACGUACUACAAUGGCUAUAACAAAGAGAAGCGAGACGGAGACGUUAAGCGAAACCCAAAAAAGUAGUCUCAGUUCGGAUUGAAGGCUGAAAUUCGCCUUCAUGAAGC
rnacentral:rRNA from 1 species